rnacentral:rRNA from 1 species
UACGAAGGGGGCUAGCGUUGCUCGGAAUCACUGGGCGUAAAGGGCGCGUAGGCGGCUUAUCAAGUCAGGCGUGAAAUUCCCGGGCUCAACCUGGGGGCUGCGCUUGAUACUGAUUGGCUUGAAUGCGGGAGAGGAUAGUGGAAUUCCCAGUGUAGAGGUGAAAUUCGUAGAUAUUGGGAAGAACACCGGUGGCGAAGGCGGCUAUCUGGCCCGUAAUUGACGCUGAGGCGCGAAAGCGUGGGGGAGCAAACAGG